AAUUUUGCGUAGAAUCAAUAUCGUAACCAAUGAGGUCAAUCCGAGGUGCGAUUAUUGCAAGUUGAAAUACUGUAUGUGUUAAGACUUAGUAUAACUCGUACUAGUGUAAUUUCAAAAAAAUACGGAGAUUGAUAAAUAUCA